UACGGAGUGUGCAAGCGUUACUCGGAAUCACUGGGCAUAAAGCGCGCGUAGGCGGGUAUUCAAGUCGGUUGUGAAAUCCCCCAGCUCAACUGGGGAACUGCAUCCGAUACUGUCUGUCUUGAGGACAAGAGGGGAGAGUGGAACUUCUGGUGGAGCGGUGAAAUGCGUAGAUAUCAGAAGGAACGCCGGUGGCGAAAGCGACUCUCUGGCUCGUAUCUGACGCUGAGGCGCGAAAGCUUGGGUAGCAAACGGG
rnacentral:rRNA from 1 species